AAUGCCCUUGUGUGCAUGUGCUGAUAGAGCAAAAGGGAAAAUAUCACACACAAAGUCUACUCAAAGAACCGUUCAGGUACCACGUGAAACCACACGGAUCAUAAAUUCAACGACUUCAAGACCUGGCGUCAAAUUUGACUGAUGCAAAACAGGAAAUGAGUCAGUCUAACCUGAGGAACCGAGAAAGUCUCUGUCUGUGGAAAGUUUAAAGAGAGGCGAGCCAACCUGUGUGAUUGGAGAACUGCACAGAGUUGAUGGAGUCCACUUCAAAGCCCAGCACCUGAGAAAAGAGUAAUGAAGCAGCUGGUGAAGCAGAGAACAAUGACGACUGGUCUCAGUGGGCUUCUGCAGUUCACAGCAUUGUCAAUUACUCAGACAUUUGGCGGCCUGUCUGAAAAUUAACUUGCCGCUAACUUGAUUGAAAUAAGGACCAUAAAACAGACGUCCGCCUCUGCCACCUGAACGUCCCAUGCAGCUCUUACCUGCAGCGGGAAUGUUGCCGACUUGUUCCCUACGUAUCCCCUGACAACAUGACUCUGAAUGGACAACACACGACACUCCAUUACCGCAAUUACCCCCG